rnacentral:rRNA from 1 species
AUGCAGGMAMRUCUGACGGACACGCCGCGUGAUUUUGAAGGUUUUCGGAUCGUAAAGCUCUGUUGUUAGGGAAGAACAAGUGCAAGAGUAACUGCUUGCACCUUGACGGUACCUAACCAGAAAGCCACGGCUAACUACGUGCCAGCAGCCGCGGUAAUACGUAGGUGGCAAGCGUUGUCCGGAAUUAUUGGGCGUAAAGGGCUCGCARGCGGUUUCUUAAGUCUGAUGUGAAAGCCCCCGGCUCAACCGGGGAGGGUCAUUGGAAACUGGGAAACUUGAGUGCAGAAGAGGAGAGUGGAAUUCCACGUGUAGCGGUGAAAUGCGUAGAGAUGUGGAGGAACACCAGUGGCGAAGGCGACUCUCUGGUCUGUAACUGACGCUGAGGAGCGAAAGCGUGGGGAGCGAACAGGAUUAGAUACCCUGGUAGUCCACGCCGUAAACGAUGAGUGCUAAGUGUUAGGGGGUUUCCGCCCCUUAGUGCUGCAGCUAACGCAUUAAGCACUCCGCCUGGGGAGUACGKGUCGCAAGACUGAAACUCAAAGGAAUUGACGGGGGCCCGCACAAGCGGYGGAGCAUGUGGUUUAAUUCGAAGCAACGCGAAGAACCUUACCAGGUCUUGACAUCCUCUGACAACCCUAGAGAUAGGGCUUUCCCUUCGGGGACAGAGUGACAGGUGGUGCAUGGUUGUCGUCAGCUCGUGUCGUGAGAUGUUGGGWUAAGUCCCGCAACGAGCGCAACCCUUGAUCUUAGUUGCCAGCAUUCAGUUGGGCACUCUAAGGUGACUGCCGGUGACAAACCGGAGGAAGGUGGGGAUGACGUCAAAUCAUCAUGCCCCUUAUGACCUGGGCUACACACGUGCUACAAUGGACAGAACAAAGGGCUGCGAGACCGCAAGGUUUAGCCAAUCCCACAAAUCUGUUCUCAGUUCGGAUCGCAGUCUGCAACUCGACUGCGUGAAGCUGGAAUCGCUAGUAAUCGCGGAUCAGCAUGCCGCGGUGAAUACGUUCCCGGGCCUUGUACACACCGCCCGUCACACCACGAGAGUUUGCAACACCCGAAGUCGGUGAGGUAACCUUUAUGGAGCCAGCCGCCGAAGGUGGGGCAGAUGAUUGGGGUGAUAGUCGUACAUGUMACAUGAGUUUGAUCCUGGCUCAGGACGAACGCUGGCGGCGUGCCUAAUACAUGCAAGUCGAGCGGACAGAAGGGAGCUUGCUCCCGGAUGUUAGCGGCGGACGGGUGAGUAACACGUGGGUAACCUGCCUGUAAGACUGGGAUAACUCCGGGAAACCGGAGCUAAUACCGGAUAGUUCCUUGAUCCGCAUGGUUCAAGGAUGAAAGACGGUUUCGGCUGUCACUUACAGAUGGACCCGCGGCGCAUUAGCUAGUUGGUGAGGUAACGGCUCACCAAGGCGACGAUGCGUAGCCGACCUSAGAGGGUGAUCGGCCACACUGGGACUGAGACACGGCCCAGACUCCUACGGKAGGCAGCAGUAGGGAAUCUUCCGCAAUGGACSAAAGUCUGACGGAGCAACGCCGCGUGAGUGAUGAAGGUUUUCGGAUCGUAAAGCUACUGUUGUUAGGGAAGAACAAGUGCAAGAGUAAAAAAAUCACUGACGGUACCUACAAAGCCC